GGUCUCCGUUGGUGAACCAGCGGAGGGAUCAUUAUAGAGUUUUCUAAACUCCCAACCCAUGUGAACUUACCAUUGUUGCCUCGGCAGAAGCUGCUCGGUGCACCUUACCUUGGAACGGCCUACCCUGUAGCGCCUUACCCUGGAACGGCUUACCCUGCAACGGCUGCCGGUGGACUACCAAACUCUUGUUAUUUUAUGGUUAUCUGAGCGUCUUAUUUUAAUAAGUCAAAACUUUCAACAACGGAUCUCUUGGUUCUGGCAUCGAUGAAGAACGCAGCGAAAUGCGAUAAGUAAUGUGAAUUGCAGAAUUCAGUGAAUCAUCGAAUCUUUGAACGCACAUUGCGCCCAUUAGUAUUCUAGUGGGCAUGCCUGUUCGAGCGUCAUUUCAACCCUUAAGCCUAGCUUAGUGUUGGGAGCCUACUGCUUUUGCUAGCGGUAGCUCCUGAAAUACAACGGCGGAUCUGCGAUAUCCUCUGAGCGUAGUAAUUUUUAUCUCGCUUUUGACUGGAGUUGCAGCGUCUUUAGCCGCUAAACCCCCCAAAUUUUAAUGGUUGACCUCGGAUCAGGUAGGAAUACCCGCUGAACUUAAGCAU
rnacentral:rRNA from 1 species